rnacentral:misc_RNA from 1 species
AGGAGGUUCCCCACUUCAUGCAGACCUUCGCGGUCGACUUCCGCUCCGUCAACGGGGACGACGGCCGGCUCACCUACGGUGCCGACUGCCGGCCCGGGGCUGAGAUCGUCGAGAUCGCCCGCGACACCGACCUGCUCUUCCUCGAGGCCACCCUGCCACGGCCCGAGCGGACCGGGAUCCGCGGCCACAUGACGCCCGCCGAAGCCGGCGAGCACGCUCGCGAGGCGGGGGCCAAGCGAUUGGUGAUCACCCACAUCUCCGACGAGCUCGGAGACGACUGGGCGAAAGCCGAGGCGGAGAAGGCCUUCAAGGGCAGCGUCGACGUCGCCCGCGAGGGCGCCGUUUACGAGUUCUGACACCCCUGCUUAGACGGUAGCCGCGGCUCGCAC